GACGAACGCUGGCGGCGUGCUUAACACAUGCAAGUCGAACGGAAAGGCCCUGCUUUUGUGGGGUGCUCGAGUGGCGAACGGGUGAGUAACACGUGAGUAACCUGCCCUUGACUUUGGGAUAACUUCAGGAAACUGGGGCUAAUACCGGAUAGGAGCUCCUGCUGCAUGGUGGGGGUUGGAAAGUUUCGGCGGUUGGGGAUGGACUCGAGGCUUAUCCGCUUGUUGGUGGGGUAGUGGCUUACCAAGGCUUUGACGGGUAGCCGGCCUGGGAGGGUAACCGGCCACAUUGGGACUGAGGUACGGCCCAGACGCCUACGGGAGGCAGCAGUGGGGAAUAUUGCACAAUGGGCGGAAGCCAGAUGCAGCAACGCCGCGUGCGGGAUGACGGCCUUCGGGUUGUGAACCGCUUUCGCCUGUGACGAAGCGUGAGUGACGGUAAUGGGUAAAGAAGCACCGGCUAACUACGUG
rnacentral:rRNA from 1 species